AUUGAACGCUGGCGGCAUGCCUUACACAUGCAAGUCGAACGGCAGCACGGGGGCAACCCUGGUGGCGAGUGGCGAACGGGUGAGUAAUACAUCGGAACGUGCCCGGAAGUGGGGGAUAACGUAGCGAAAGUUACGCUAAUACCGCAUAUUCUGUGAGCAGGAAAGCAGGGGAUCGCAAGACCUUGCGCUUUCGGAGCGGCCGAUGUCGGAUUAGCUAGUUGGUGAGGUAAAAGCUCACCAAGGCGACGAUCCGUAGCUGGUCUUAGAGGAUGAUCAGCCACACUGGGACUGAGACACGGCCCAGACUCCUACGGGAGGCAGCAGUGGGGAAUUUUGGACAAUGGGGGAAACCCUGAUCCAGCCAUGCCGCGUGAGUGAAGAAGGCCUCGG
rnacentral:rRNA from 1 species